AGGGGGGAAAGAAACUAACAAGGAUUCCCCUAGUAACGGGAGGGAAGCGGGAUGAGCUCAAAUUUAAAAUUUGGCUGGUUACUAGUCCGAAUUGUAGUUUAAAGAAGCGUUUUCGGGGGCAGUCUCGGUAUAAAUCCUUUGGAAUAGGGUAUCAUAGAGGGUGAGAAUCCCGUCUUUGACUGAGAAUUUGCUACUAUGUGAUACGUUUUCAAAGAGUCGAGUUGUUUGGGAAUGCAGCUCAAAAUGGGUGGUAAAUUUCAUCUAAAGCUAAAUAUUGGCGAGAGACCGAUAGCGAACAAGUACCGUGAGGGAAAGAUGAAAAGAACUUUGAAAAGAGAGUUAAACAGUGCGUGAAAUUGUUGAAAGGGAAACGCUUGAAACCAGUCAUGUGGUUGGAAAAUCAGUGUUCAACUGGGGGGAAUGGGGGAGGUGUGGACCGCAAGGCUGCUCUUUUCUAUAUCUCUUUUGUUGGGCAUGCACUUUUUCUUCUGCAGGUCAACAUCAGUUUCUUUUGCUGGACAAAACUCUUGAGAAGGUAGCAGCUUAGGCUGUGUUAUAGCUCUGGAGCGAUACAGUGGAGGAGACUGAGGUUUUCGCAGCAUGUGCUCUCGGGCAAGGCCAAUUGGGUGCUAUGGGAUCGUUCGGGGUACAAUACAUGUAUUUUGCCUCGUGUCUUUUCUAUACUCGUUCAGUUGAGCUCUUCCAUGCUUAGGAUGUUGACUUAAUGGUUUUAAUCGACCCGUCUUGAAACACGGACCAAGGAGUCUAACAUAUAUGCAAGUGUUUGGGUGGCAAACCCAUGCGCGUAAUGAAAGUGAACGUAGGUGCCAUCCGCAAGGUGCAGCAUCGACCGAUCUUGAUAUUUUUGGAUAGAUUUGAGUAAGAGCAUAUAUGCUGGGACCCGAAAGAUGGUGAACUAUGCCUGAAUAGGGUGAAGCCAGAGGAAACUCUGGUGGAGGCUCGUAGCGAUUCUGACGUGCAAAUCGAUCGUCAAAUUUGGGUAUA
rnacentral:rRNA from 1 species